UACGAAGGGGGGCUAGCGUUGCUCGGAAUCACUGGGCGUAAAAGGGUGCGUAGGCGGGUCUUUAAGUCAGGGGUGAAAUCCCGGAGCUCAACUCCGGAACUGCCUUUGAUACUGGAGAUCUUGAGUCCGGGAGAGGUGAGUGGAACUCCCGAGUGAGAGGUGAAAUUCGUAGAAUAUUCGGAAGAACACCAGUGGCGAAGGCGGCUCACUGGCCCGGUACUGACGCUGAGGUGCGAAAGCGUGGGGAGCAAAACAGG
rnacentral:rRNA from 1 species